GGCACUUUGGCGGAGUGGUUAUCGCGCAAGCCUGCUAAGCUUGUCUCUUAGGAGGCCAGAGUUCGAAUCUCUGAGGUGUCG